rnacentral:rRNA from 1 species
AUGACCGAGGUCAGGACGCUUUUUACCGACAUUCGCCUCACUCCAAACCAGCAGCUACCCAGAUCGAUGAUGAGCAACGCCAUGAUAGUGUGUGCAUCCGCCGGAUCAUCGGCAGGGAGCCAUCAUCCCUCGCCGAUCCCUCACCACGCUGUUAGACGUCAACCGACGACGGAUCAGGGUGGGAUCCAGAUCGACGGUUGCAGCCGCACCCACCAUCGCCAAGGAACCCGCAAGUUCUUGCUGGCCAUGGAGGUAAGCUCUGCCGCUGCAUGUAACGCAACGGUCCCGCUCUUCCUCGUCCUCGUCUUAGCCGUCGCUACCAUGGCCAUAUCGGAGGAGGACACGACCACGCACAUCAAGGUGUACUGGCGAGACAUGUACAGCGGGCCGAGCCCGACGGCGGUGGAGGUGGCGCGUGCCGCCGUGCCCCGUCGACCAACUCGUCUAAGACCCUGUUUGGCGGGGUAUAUGUCAUCGACGACACGCUCACGGACGGGCCUGACCUCAACUCGUCGAAUCUGGUGGGGCGCGCGCAGGGCAUGUACGUCAGCUCCGGCAUGGACGAGCUGGCGGUGCUCAUGA